UGUUAUCCGAUCCAGUUGCGAUGAUCGGAAUUUCGCGCUAGCAACGCCGUUGUUUUUUUUAAUUCAUAUUUUUUUUUAUUUAUAUAUACAUAUAUUUAGAUCUGCACAUUUUUUUCAUAACUAACUACCCUGAUUUUUCCUAAACCCUGACAAUUUCGCCACAAACUCUAAAUUUCAAACCUAAAACUUUAAUCGUGUUAUUUCCUUUAAACCAUAAACUUUUUCUUAAACCUUAACAAACCUUAUUAUUAUUUCCUAUUUUCGCUCAUAUUUAUGUUAUUCAUACACGGUAACUGCUUCGCCCUUAUAAUAUUUUAAGUUUUAACUUGUAAUAUUUUCAGUUUUACUUUUCGCCAUCUUUAUUAUGUAACUGCACCAAAGCGUUGUAAUAAUUAGGGUUUUAUUUUCUGCCAUU
rnacentral:lncRNA from 1 species